CCUACGGGAGGCAGCAGUGGGGAAUAUUGCACAAUGGGGGGAACCCUGAUGCAGCGACGCCGCGUGAGUGAAGAAGUCAUUCGUGAUGUAAAGCUCUAUCAGCAGGGAAGAAAAUGACGGUACCUGACUAAGAAGCCCCGGCUAACUACGUGCCAGCAGCCGCGGUAAUACGUAGGGGGCAAGCGUUAUCCGGAUUUACUGGGUGUAAAGGGAGCGUAGACGGCAGCGCAAGUCCGAAGUGAAAGCCCGGGGCCCAACCCCGGGACUGCUUUGGAAACUGUGAAGCUGGAGUGCGGGAGGGGUAAGUGGAAUUCCUAGUGUAGCGGUGAAAUGCGUAGAUAUUAGGAGGAACACCAGUGGCGAAGGCGGCUUACUGGACUGUAACUGACGUUGAGGCUCGAAAGCGUGGGGAGCAAACAGGAUUAGAUACCCGGGUAGUC
rnacentral:rRNA from 1 species